rnacentral:rRNA from 1 species
GACGAACGCUGGCGGCGUGCUUAACACAUGCAAGUCGAACGGAAAGGCCCUGCUUUUGUGGGGUGCUCGAGUGGCGAACGGGUGAGUAACACGUGAGUAACCUGCCCUUUACUUUGGGAUAACUUCAGGAAACUGGGGCUAAUACCGGAUAGGAGCUCCUGCUGCAUGGUGGGGGUUGGAAAGUUUCGGCGGUUGGGGAUGGACUCGCGGCUUAUCAGCUUGUUGGUGGGGUAGUGGCUUACCAAGGCUUUGACGGGUAGCCGGCCUGAGAGGGUGACCGGCCACAUUGGGACUGAGAUACGGCCCAGACUCCUACGGGAGGCAGCAGUGGGGAAUAUUGCACAAUGGGCGGAAGCCUGAUGCAGCAACGCCGCGUGCGGGAUGACGGCCUUCGGGUUGUAAACCGCUUUCGCCUGUGACGAAUCGUGAGUGACGGUAAUGGGUAAAGAAGCACCGGCUAACUACGUG